UAAACCUCUCCAAAUGCAGGAGAAUUUCCUCUGGUUUUCGUUCUUCAUGGACUGGUUCCAGCAGCGUCUCUUCCCUUUCUUCCAGAAACUUGUUCGCUAGAGAGAUAUGGGGCUGGGUGAAUUGCAAGAGCGUUACUUUCAAAAGAGACGUUCGUGGCGUGGUAAAGGCGGAAAUGUUUGGGCAGUUAACAAGCGGCCUUGAAGCGGCUUGGAGCAAGCUCAAAGGAGAAGAGAUUUUGACCAAGGACAAUAUUGCGGAGCCUAUGAGGGAUAUCAGGAGAGCUCUUCUGGAAGCAGAUGUGAGUCUUCCUGUUGUUAGAAGGUUUGUGCAAUCAGUAAGCGACCAAGCCGUGGGUGUUGGCCUCAUACGAGGAGUGAAACCUGAUCAGCAGUUGGUCAAGAUUGUACAUGAUGAGCUUGUAAAAUUGAUGGGUGGGGAGGUGUCUGAACUGGUUUUUGCAAAAUCUGGCCCCACUGUUAUAUUACUGGCUGGUCUACAAGGAGUUGGAAAGACAACUGUUUGUGCAAAGUUAGCUAAUUAUCUCAAGAAACAGGGGAAGUCUUGCUUGCUUGUUGCUGGAGAUGUGUACAGACCUGCCGCUAUAGACCAACUUGUCAUUUUGGGUGAACAGGUGGGUGUGCCUGUUUACACUGAGGGUACGGAGGUUAAACCUUCAGAAAUAGCUAAAAGAGGCUUGGAGGAGGCCAAAAAGAAAAGCUUAGAUGUGGUCAUAGUAGACACUGCUGGAAGACUGCAGAUAGAUAAAGCAAUGAUGGAUGAGCUAAAAGAAGUGAAGCGGGUAUUGAAUCCCACAGAAGUGUUGCUGGUUGUGGAUGCAAUGACUGGCCAAGAAGCAGCAGUGUUGGUUUCAACCUUCAAUCUUGAAAUUGGAAUUACGGGUGCCAUUUUGACAAAGCUAGAUGGGGAUUCUAGAGGUGGUGCAGCCCUAAGCGUCAAAGAGGUAUCAGGGAAGCCAAUUAAGCUUGUAGGGCGGGGAGAGCGAAUGGAGGAUCUUGAACCUUUCUACCCAGAUCGUAUGGCUGGUCGCAUCCUAGGAAUGGGAGAUGUUCUUUCAUUUGUAGAGAAGGCACAAGAAGUCAUGUGCCAAGAAGAUGCUGAAGACUUGCAAAAGAAGAUAAUGAGUGCCAAGUUUGACUUCAAUGAUUUCCUAAAGCAAACUCGCGCAGUUGCGCGUAUGGGUUCCAUGACUCGUGUCAUAGGGAUGAUCCCAGGAAUGGGGAAGAUUACUCCUGCACAAAUUCGAGAAGCGGAAAAGAGUUUGAAGAUAAUGGAAGCAAUGAUUGAAGCAAUGACUCCUGAGGAAAGAGAGAAGCCAGAAUUGUUGGCAGAAUCUCCUGACAGGAGGAAGAGAGUUGCUCAGGAUUCCGGGAAAACAGAGCAGCAGGUGAGUCAACUUGUUGCUCAACUAUUCCAAAUGCGCGUCCGUAUGAAGAAUCUAAUGGGCGUAAUGGAGGGGGGAUCUAUUCCUGCUUUGAGCAAUCUUGAGGAUGCGCUUAAAGCUGAGCAGAAGGUACCUUGCCCACAAACGCAUAUACAUUGACAGUGCAAUGCAUGUUUUGCCGUUCACUUCUCACACUGUAAAUUUCAUUGGUAAAGGAUUGUUGCUGAUUGGUAGAAUAUGCUAACCUAUUCUAGAUAGGAUGGAGUUUGAAUGCCAUUCAGUUCUUACUGUUAUCUUUACUUGAUGCUGUUAAAACCUUAUGAUUGCGUAAAUUUAUUCUACAGCUGGGAAAUUUAGAAACUGUAUCUUUGAGAGUUGUUUUCUGUUCAAUACUAAGCUUUAAUUUUCUACUCACACAGGAAUAAUGUUGGCCCACUAAUGGCAACCCAACUGUUGUCCCUUGUGGGAUCAUCGAUGUGUGCCUUGUUCUAUCAAAAAGCUAACACUUAGGAAAACUAUUACUAGUUCCAAUCAAGGCUUUGCCAUCAUCAAAAUUAAAUGAGUUCAACUUCUAGUCAACAACAAUUUUUGUGUGACAUCAGAAAAUGCAAAGCGUCUUUAUUUCUUUUAACCUUUGCUAGAAAAGAAUAUAGAUCAUGUGGACUAUGAAAGACAAUGUAGACAGUAGUCUUCCCACAUGGGUACCACGCUACACUGGUUCUGUCCCGUUCGAGUACUGGGUAUUGGAAGCAUCAACCUUAUUGAUUUACUUGAGUUAGCCUUUCAGAGGGUAAUGAUAUCUUUAAACUCUUUCAGAUUAGAGAGAAUGGAAGGAAAAUUUCUGAUGUCCCUUGCAUGACACUCCAUUCAUUGAGAUAAUGAAAAACAAGAAGAAACCAACUAGAAUUUCAACCAUAUGUGUCCAAGUCAUUUUAUGCCCAUGGUCAUUCAUUUGUUUUUCCUAUAUUUAGGAUUUCUUUUAAUAAUCUUAUGGCAUCUAAAAUUCUAUCAUCAUAUAAACCAUCUUGUUUUUAAGGGUAAAGUUAUAUGGAACUUGUCAACAUUUCCACUUUUUCUGUUUUAUUAAACUUAUCUUCAAUUUCUGGUAUGCUAACAGGACCUGAUAACUUGCACGGUUGCAUGUUCUGUAUGUUAGUGUAUAUAUUGUUGCAUAUUUUGAUUGUUUAUGAAUAUGCUAUAGUAUAAUCAUUUGAUAUUUUGGGUCUUCUCCUGGGUAAGGCUCCUCCUGGUACUGCAAGAAGGAAGAGGAGGUCAGAAUCAAGGAGGCAAUUUGCAGACUCAGCAUCAUCAAGGCCAAGUCCUCGUGGUUUUGGGUCAAGAAAUUAAGAGCUUAAGGUGGUGGGCUCUGGAACCAUGAGUUCAAGCCAGCAGAUCAUAGACCUCAAAUUUGUUACCUGCUUACGAAUAUCUCUACUAUAAAGGUAGAGUUAAAUGUUCCUUAAGCUAUGAUAACUCAUUAUCUUGCCAUGUUUAUUAACUAUUAAGACCAUGAAUUUUGCCAGUCACCAUAAACCGAUACCAUGUAUUAAUGUCUGUAAGUUGUUUAGGAAUUCAACUGUAUCAUUGAGAAACAAAAACAGUAGAUUUGUAACUGGUUGUUCAAGACUAUGUAGCUUAAGAUAAUUUAUGAUUUUUUUAGAGCCAGUUUCUGUGGUUCUAAAUGUCGUGCUUGAUGAUUAGUAACUAUGCAAAUCCAAUCAUUGAUCAAAGAAGCCAAGCACCACUGUAAUUAUGCAAGAGAGCUUAUUUCGCACGAGCUUUCAGCCAUCUGAUCAAGCAAUUUCACUUGAUCAGAUGGAUGUUAUCUCAUGUGCAUGGUGUGCAUCUGCGCACCAAAUCAUUCCAUUCUACAAAUACAAUACAAAUGUCUAGGAAACAGUUAUUUCCAACAGAUUUUCCUUGAAGUUCUGAACAGAGAGUCGUUGAGACCCAUAAAACAAUAACUUCCUCUUAGCGUUUUGACAUGACACUUGUAGAAACUAAAUUAUUUAAAAGCCAAGUUUUGU
rnacentral:misc_RNA from 1 species